rnacentral:tRNA from 1 species
GUGCCUGUGGCUCAGUGAGUAGGGCGCUGGCCACGUACGCCAGAGGUGGCAGGUUCAAACCCAGCCUGGGCCA